UAACCUGGCGGCAGGCUUACACAUGCAAGCUCCUAGCGGUAACAGGGGGUGCUUGCACCCCGCUGACGAGCGGCGGACGGGUGAGUAAUGCAUAGGAAACUGCCCAGUAGUGGGGGAUAGCCCGGGGAAACCCGGAUUAAUACCGCGUACGCCCUUCGGGGGAAAGCAGGGGAUCUUCGGACCUUGCGCUAUUGGAUGUGCCUAUGUCGGAUUAGCUAGUUGGUGGGGUAAAGGCCUACCAAGGCGACGAUCCGUAGCUGGUCUGAGAGGAUGAUCAGCCACAUCGGGACUGAGACACGGCCCGAACUCCUACGGGAGGCAGCAGUGGGGAAUAUUGGACAAUGGGGGCAACCCUGAUCCAGCCAUGCCGCGUGUGUGAAGAAGGCUUUCGGGUUGUAAAGCACUUUCAGUGAGGAGGAAAACUCUGCGACUAAUACUCGUAGGGCUUGACGUUACUCACAGAAGAAGCACCGGCUAACUCCGUGCCAGCAGCCGCGGUAAUACGGAGGGUGCAAGCGUUAAUCGGAAUUACUGGGCGUAAAGCGCGCGUAGGUGGUUUGAUAAGCGAGAUG
rnacentral:rRNA from 1 species